CGGCGGACGGGUGAGUAACGCGUGGGUAACCUGCCUCAUACAGGGGGAUAACGGUUGGAAACGGCUGCUAAUACCGCAUAAGCGCACAGUACCGCAUGGUACCGUGUGAAAAACUCCGGUGGUAUGAGAUGGACCCGCGUCUAAUUAGCUAGUUGGUGGGGUAACGGCCUACCAAGGCGACGAUCAGUAGCCGACCUGAGAGGGUGACCGGCCACAUUGGGACUGAGACACGGCCCAA
rnacentral:rRNA from 1 species